AGUGGCGAACGGGUGAGUAACACGUGGGCAAUCUGCCCUGCACUCUGGGACAAGCCCUGGAAACGGGGUCUAAUACCGGAUACAACCACUGACCGCAUGGUCGGGUGGUGGAAAGCUCCGGCGGUGCAGGAUGAGCCCGCGGCCUAUCAGCUUGUUGGUGAGGUAGUGGCUCACCAAGGCGACGACGGGUAGCCGGCCUGAGAGGGCGACCGGCCACACUGGGACUGAGACACGGCCCAGACUCCUACGGGAGGCAGCAGUGGGGAAUAUUGCACAAUGGGCGAAAGCCUGAUGCAGCGACGCCGCGUGAGGGAUGACGGCCUUCGGGUUGUAAACCUCUUUCAGCAGGGAAGAAGCGAGAGUGACGGUACCUGCAGAAGAAGCGCCGGCUAACUACGUGCCAGCAGCCGCGGUAAUACGUAGGGCGCAAGCGUUGUCCGGAAUUAUUGGGCGUAAAGAGCUCGUAGGCGGCUUGUCGCGUCGGUUGUGAAAGCCCGGGGCUUAACCCCGGGUCUGCAGUCGAUACGGGCAGGCUAGAGUUCGGUAGGGGAGAUCGGAAUUCCUGGUGUAGCGGUGAAAUGCGCAGAUAUCAGGAGGAACACCGGUGGCGAAGGCGGAUCUCUGGGCCGAUACUGACGCUGAGGAGCGAAAGCGU
rnacentral:rRNA from 1 species